rnacentral:misc_RNA from 1 species
GCAAACUUGGUCAUUUAGAGGAAGUAAAAGUCGUAACAAGGUAACCGUAGGUGAACCUGCGGUUGGAUCAUUAAAAAAAACGUUUGGUCUUGUACCAAAUCAACAUUGUGUGCACCAAAUGACUGUUUUUGGUAGCUCGAGUUUGACCAUCGGAACUCAACACUCCUUUGGUCCUACCGCGAUUUGAAUGGCAGGUUUUGCCUGCUAUUCUGAUCAUUUAUGCGGUUGGGCUACCGACCAUGUUGAAUAACUUUUUUUGUUUUUUUUUGUCUGAUUUUUUAAGAUUUGAUCUUUAUCGAUUGAAUAUUAAAUACAACUUUUGACAACGGAUCUCUUGGCUCUCGCAUCGAUGAAGAACGCAGC